rnacentral:tRNA from 1 species
UGUAGCUCAGCUGGUAGAGCAACUGACUUGUAAUCAGUAGGUCGCGGGUUCGACUCCUGCUGCUUCUGCACCA